AUCUGAAUUAUUAAUAUAUGAAGUCCCAAUUAAAGUAAAUUAAAUGAUCUUACAUGGAUGUGCUUUGUUUGAGUUGGGGCUACAUAUAUUUAUUAGAUGGAAAUCCUGCUCAUAAUUGAAUUGAGUUCAUCCAGUAAGUCA